UUGUCCAUUCCGACAUCUCGCCAUGCUGAAGAUGAUUUACUUGAGUCAUUGUCUGCCAAGUUAUUGGUUGGACUCACGAGGUUGUUGGUCUCCAUACUAGGCAUUUGCAACAACCUUCUUUUUUACUCUAGUAAUCAUUGCUGCUUGUGUUGGUGUUUCUGUAGCUUUUUAAAGAAUCAAGACUGACAAAUCCUUUCUAUACAGAGUAGGAAUGCUAGUCACAAAACAUUCAUACGCCUCCAUGUACCUAAAAACAAGUAUUG
rnacentral:misc_RNA from 1 species